GUUCAAAGAGAAAAAGCACAUGAUGACUUUGAAGGAGGCUGCCUGGCUGAGCUGAUCGGAUCACCUAGAGACUGGAAAUGCUUUCUGGAUAAGUACAUACAUCUCUACUACCCAUCUCCCAAUCCAGAACUGAGCAUCGCAGAUGAAAGAUACCUGCCUGUUGGUUUUUUUUUCUUAGCUGAUUGUUUCACCCUCUGUAGAGUUUAAGUAAGGUGAGGACAUGGGAUUGUGAUAGAGAGCUGCCAGUGUCAUUCUUGGCACUUCCAAAGUGUGGUACUGCAGCCACUGGGUUUGAGUUUCGCACCUGCAGGAGAGGGUUUGAUUGGGUGAUGCUCUGGGUGUCUUUCUGCUCUAGGGGUUGACUUGUCUAUGAUCCCUGAGCUGUCUCUCACUUCACUGACACUUACUUACCUAAGUCCUGCCGUUCAAAUGCAUCCAUUUUAAACCUUGUUACUAAACAAUUGCCAAAGUGAAGGAAUUAGCAUCAAUUCACACACAAAUUCAAAAAAUAUAAAUAAAUCAGAAAACAUUGGAAGGGAAGAAUUCAUUCAUCUUUUUUCUCUAAUAGCCUUAGAGAUGAAGUAAGGGAUUCCUAGUUAUCUUAUGCUGGCUUCAGAGCUUGGCUAAUAUCAAACACAUACAAUAUUUGAUGAAACAAAUGAAGAUUUCCAUUUUUCUGCAAGCUGAAGAUAAGAAUAGCUGUUUCAGAGUUGGACAUAGAUUUAUCAUAAGCAGGAUCAUGGAUCUUUGAAAAUUUGGGCUAGAUUUCAAACAAUAAAAAUCCUAAAAAUUCAAAGUAAAAUUCCCUAAAAUUUGCUCAUGGCUUUCAACUGUUUUAGUACUGUCACAAAGAUGAUCUUACUGCAUUCUCUCUUUUAUAAUCUCUUCCACUUACCUCAUAAGGUUAACAGACCAGGAGUUAUAUGCAUUUUAUAGAAUGUGGGUCCCUGUAGUUAAAAAACAAAACAAAACAAAAAACACCUGUCUAUUUUAUUCCCUAUUUUAUCUGCAGUGGUUAGCAUAAUAAACAUGAACAUGAACAUGAAAAGAACUUAAAAAAAUGUAUGUGAGUGACUGAUUUAUCAAAUGAAUGAAUAAGAAAACUGAAGUACACACAGCAAGUUAAGCGAUACACCCGAUAUCAUUUUGUAUAAGUGCCAAGAUUUUAAUGAAAGAGACAAAAAUGCUGUCUUCUGAAGUCAAAGCUCAGAAGAUUCCAUGAUCCUAUUGCAACAGCUGUCGGUUUAACAGAACAGUUAAAGAGUUCUGCCAUUGUAUGAGUCUACGAUUUCCCUGAGAACGCUGUGUAACAAACAAGUUUGAAUUCUCAGUGUCUUGUAAUGAAUGUUUAUGUUUCUUAGCUAGCCGUGCAUCUGUGGUUUGGCUGAGGUUCUGCUAAUCUUAUUGGGCUUGGUCAGGCUUGGUUCCAAGUUCAGUUCAGGUUCAGAGCUGCUCCAGGGGGCUUAUUCUGGGGCCCACACUAAAAGGGAAGGGGAUCUCUGGGCCAUAUUCUUCUCAUGCUGGAUUACAGGAGUGCAAGAGGACACACCAGCCACGAGAGCACAUUUAAAACCUUUGCUCCUAUCAGGUUUGCUUACAUUUCCUAGACUAGAGCAAGACACUGGCCAAUCCCCUCAAUAGUCAGUGGGGCAGCAAAGUGUAUUCUAUUCCAAAGAGAGAGGGAGGGACUGUUUGCUAGAUAAUAAUUCCAUUUAUCACCACCAGCCUGAAGGGAAGAAAUUUAAUUGACAAAUUCUCAAGCUCUCUGUCAGCUUUGUGAUUCUUUAGUUCUCGUAUAACACGUUAAAGGGAGCUUAGUCCUUUGUCAGUGGAAACUGUCUAGUCAUACCCUGAUCAGAAUUCAAGGCCAAGCAGGGACCAUUAUUUGAGCUGUGGAUUCUGCUGUUUGGUAUUCACACGUCCCUAAUCAUCUUGGAAAGUAUAAUGUUUUCUAACAGCUGUAAAGACAAAAGAUUCUAACAUUACAAACUAUACAUAAUAUCCAUGAAAUUACAUUGAAUAAUGUAAUGAUGUGUUAUGCUGUCAUUAACACAUUAUGAAUACCUAAUUUGAGAGGUUAAUGAAAUAGACAAACAUAUGAACACUGUGGGUAUCAUCAAUACCACUUAAUGACAAACCUCUUGUUUUCAUUUACAGAAUCAUCUGAAAUGAGAAGAUUCCAUCUUUCUAGCUACAUUUGCUUGGUCAUAAAUUAAGAAGAGUCUGCACGAUAUGUUUUGUUUUAACAUGGAGUGCGAGAAUCCCAAGACAGAAAGAAGAGCUGCUCUGUUUGAAGAACAAUUGGGAGCCCCAGGACCUGCCGCUGUGCCCACCUCUUGUUUUCCCAUCCACAGAAAUGGUCCCUGAAGUAUCCCAUGGAAGGAGAGGUGCUGGUUCUGUUAGGUGACUGGGUGUGCACAAUGAGGACUCUGAAGAACACCAGGUCAGAAGACUGAUCCCACUUCUGAGCCUUACAGAAUCUGGAGGUAGAAGAGAUAAGGUGUCAGAAUUGCUUUACAACAUCCCAGGAAAAUGUUCUUCUAACUCCUGCCUGAAAGCUUCAGUGAUGGGAGGCUCACGGCUUGUGCAGCCACCUGCCCUUCUGAUGAUUGUCUCUCGUUGUUCAAGGCCACACAUUUCCUCUUGUCCUUCAGGCUUUCAAAAUCCACUUCAUAACCAAUGUCCAGUGACGUCACUCCUCUUGGCCUCACUGUCUUCAUUGAUCACGUGGUGAGAGGAGCACUGGGUUAAUUAGCAUGUGUGAAAAACCCUGAACGCCAUCAGACCCCCAGCUCAUUCUCGUUAGUGUCAAUCAGGUUGCUGCUAUGGUUGUUGCUAUUAGGAUAAUUGUCACGGCCACUCUUUCACCUUCUGCCUGGCUCCUUCGGCACCGCUUGGCUUCAUUAGACCACUUGCUGGUUCUCAGACACACCAUGCACCCACACAGCACCCCGGUCCUACAGUGGCUCCUCUACAAAAUGCCCAGGGCACCCUCCCUCCCAGCAUUCCUGACCUCACCAUGUUCCCUCUCUCCUGAAAACCUUGACUCACCCUCUGGAGCUCAGCUACAACCCAAGUUGCCCAGGACACCCCUAACCUCAUGUGGGAAUCUGAUGCCUGGGGCUCAGGGGCAGCCUCUGCUACUAGCAACUCUCUGAUAUUGAAAAAUGUACUCACCUUCCCUAAGCCUCCAUGUCCUUAUUCUUAAAACAGAGAUAAUGCGUUUAUUGCAGGUUGUUGUAAAUAUGAAAUGAAAUGAGAUAUUUAAGUUGUGUGUUGGAUAACACAUCAGCCAUUCCCUCUUUCAAACACAUUUUUCUACCUGAUCCUCACAGCAGCCUGGAAGGCAGGGAUCUUUGCAGGUGAAAACACUCAGCUUUGGGAGUGGCUGAUGCAGGGCUACCCAGUUCCUAAGUGCUUCAUUCAAACUUGAACCUAGGACUUUGGAAUUUACAUCUUUUGUGUUAGCCACUGAAAAUUUGCAAAAUUAUUGCUGAUGGAUCGAGUAGGGUCUCAAAAAAUUCUCAAAUCAAUUAGAUCAAACAGAACUCUGUGAUAUUCUGAUUUUUAAUUUUU